UACGGAGGGGGCUAGCGUUGUUCGGAAUAACUGGGCGUAAAGCGCACGUAGGCGGCUUUGUAAGUUAGAGGUGAAAGCCCGGGGCUCAACUCCGGAAUUGCCUUUAAGACUGCAUCGCUCGAAUUGUGGAGAGGUAAGUGGAAUUCCGAGUGUAGAGGUGAAAUUCGUAGAUAUUCGGAAGAACACCAGUGGCGAAGGCGACUUACUGGACACAUAUUGACGCUGAGGUGCGAAAGCGUGGGGAGCAAACAGG
rnacentral:rRNA from 1 species